GGAUGAGUAAUACAUCGGAACAUGUCUGUUCAGUGGGGGAUAGCCCGGCAGAAAGCCGGAUUAAUACCUGCUAUACGUCCGAGAGGAGAAAGUGGGGGACCGCAAGGCCUCACGCGAUUUGGUGUUGGCCGAUGUCCGAUUAGCUAGUUGGUGGGGUAAAGGCCUACCAAGGCGAUGAUCGGUAGCUGGUCUGAGAGGAUGAUCAGCCACACUGGGACUGAGACACGGCCAGACUCAAUACGGGAGGCAGCAGUGGGGAAUUUUGGACAAUGGGGGCAACCCUGAUCCAGCCAUUCCGCGUGAGUGAAGAAGGCCUUCGGGUUGUAAAGCUCUUUUGUCCGGAGCGAAACGGGCGGCGUGAAUAGCGUCGUCUACUGACGGUACCGGAAGAAUAAGCACCGGCUAACUACGUGCCAGCCGCCGCGG
rnacentral:rRNA from 1 species